UUUGUCCCUUUUUGUUCUUGUUUUUGUCUUUUGUCUUAUGUUGUUCUUAUUGUUUUCGAUUUUGUUGUUUGAAGUUGAAAAUUUUCAGAUCCGCUGGGUAUGGCGGCGCGUAGCAGGCCACGACCACCGCGGAAGGUGUGAUAUUUUUCACCUAUUUGGUUUUUCGGUUUUUUUUUUUAUUUUUUUUAUUUUUUUUAUCUGAACGAAAUUUUUGGUUUGUUAUUUGGAUCUGUGGGUUUCUCGGUUGAAUCUAUUGUUUGUUGGAUGUCCCUCACAUCGCCGCUCACAUCCGCAGCAAAUGGCCACCCGUGGAAGCGCACGGCCACGCCAAAAGCACACAACAACAAACCAGAAGAUGAAAUUUCAGAAGAUUGAAUUUGUAUAUGAUGCGUUAAAUUUUUUUGUUCGGUGUACUCUCUGUAAAUAAUAAAGAUGUAAAUAUGCAAACAUAGUUUUUAUCUUUGAAUUUUUUUUUUUUGCUGUAAUACAUCUACAUAUCAUCUAAUUACAUAAUGUAACAAAUUCAUU